rnacentral:misc_RNA from 1 species
UUAUACAAAAUCGAUGUGUUGCUUGUCGUGACAUGUUGGAGUUGGGUGAUCUUGAUCUCCUCUUGGGCUCAAGAUACCUGAAAUUGAUGUUCUCGCGCAUCCUUAGACGUGUAAGUCUUACCUCGUCUUUUAUGGGUGUCGUGCUAUCAUUUACUGGUCGUGGUCACGUUGUUGAGCUCACGCCCAUAAUUUUUCGAG